rnacentral:rRNA from 1 species
CAAAUUUAAAAUCUACCUGGUUUCCAGGUCGAGUUGUAAUUUGAAGAUACGUUUUUGACGUUCCGGGUUGAACUAAAUCCUUUGGGAUAAGGUAUCAUGGAGGGUGAGAAUCCCGUAUAUACCAACCRUAGGGAUGUUAUUUAAUACGUUUCUAAGAGUCGAGUUGUUUGGGAAUGCAGCUCUAAAUGGGUGGUAAAUUUCACCUAAUGCUAAAUAUAAGCGAGAGACCGAUAGCGAACAAGUACAGUGAUGGAAAGAUGAAAAGAACUUUGAAAAGAGAGUUAAAUAGUAYGUGAAAUUGUUGAAAGGGAAACGAUUGAAGUCAGUCAUGCCRGUGGGAAUCAACUUWGAGGAAACUCUGAGUGCACUUCUUCSCUUGGCAGGUCAACGUCGAUUUUGGAUGUCAUAAAAUGAUUGGGGGAAGGUAGCUCYUUCGGGAGUGUUAUAGCCCUUGGUAGAUGUGAUGUCUGGGAUCGAGGAUUGCAAUGGAUACCCUUUGGGGCUAGCCGCCUGAUCUCUAAUYGGUAUUGGGUUACGGAUAGCAUGCUGACCGUGAUCUAAUUAUUGGUUAAA